GCCGACGUCGCAUAAUCUGGCAUUGCGUUUGCCUCGAGAGCAGAUGUCCGCAAGGACUUCCCGGUUCAAAUCCGGGCGUCGGCG
rnacentral:tRNA from 1 species